UACGUAGGGACCAAGCGUUGUUCGGAUUUACUGGGCGUAAAGGGCGCGUAGGCGGCGUGACAAGUCACUUGUGAAAUCUCUGGGCUUAACCCAGAACGGCCAAGUGAAACUGUUGUGCUAGAGUGCAGAAGGGGCAAUCGGAAUUCUCGGUGUAGCGGUGAAAUGCGUAGAUAUCGAGAGGAACACCAGAGGUGAAGACGGGUUGCUGGGCUGACACUGACGCUGAUGCGCGAAAAGCUAGGGGGAGCGAAACGGG
rnacentral:rRNA from 1 species